UACGGAGGGGGCAAGCGUUAUCCGGAUUCACUGGGCGUAAAGCGUCCGCAGCCGGUUUAAUAAGUCUACUUUCAAAUGCCGUAGCUCAACUACGGAAAGGGAGUGGAUACUGUUUUACUAGAGAAAGAUAGGGGGUAGUAGAAUUUCCAGUGGAGGAGUGAAAUCCGUUGAUAUUGGAAGGAAUACCAAAAGCGAAGGCAGCUACCUAUAUCUUUUCUGACGGUCAGGGACGAAAGUCUGGGUAGCAAACGGG
rnacentral:misc_RNA from 1 species